GAUGAACGCUGGCGGCGUGCCUAAUACAUGCAAGUCGAGCGAACGGACGAUAAUCUUGCUUCUCUGAUGUUAUCGGCUGACGUGUGAGUAACACGUGUAUAACCUACCUAUAAUACUGGUAUAACUUCGUGAAACCGGAUCUAAUACCGUAUAAUAUUUUGAACCUCAUUGUUCAUAAGUUAAAUUCGUUCUUUCUGUCUCUUAUAGAUGUAUCCUCGCUGCAUUAGCUAGUUGGUAAGGUAACGGCCUACCAAGGCAACGAUGCAUAGCCGACCUGAGAGGGUGAGCGGCCACACUGGAAGGGAGAAACGGAAAAGAGAACGACGGGAGGAAGCAGUAGGGAAGAGUCCGCAAUGGGCGAAAGCAUGACGGAGCAAAGCCGAGUGAGAGAAGAAGGACUACGGAUCGUAAAAAUCUGUUAUUAGGGAAGAAAAUAAGUGUAAGAAACUGUGCACAUAAUGACGGUAACUAAAAAGAAAGCAACGGCUAACUACGUG
rnacentral:rRNA from 1 species